AUGAACGCUGGCGGCGUGCCUAAUACAUGCAAGUCGAGCGAACAGACGAGGAGCUUGCUCCUCUGACGUUAGCGGCGGACGGGUGAGUAACACGUGGCUAACCUACCUAUAAGACUGGGAUAACUUCGGGAAACCGGAGCUAAUACCGGAUAAUAUAUUGAACCGCAUGGUUCAAUAGUGAAAGACGGUUUUGCUGUCACUUAUAGAUGGAUCCGCGCCGCAUUAGCUAGUUGGUAAGGUAACGGCUUACCAAGGCAACGAUGCGUAGCCGACCUGAGAGGGUGAUCGGCCACACUGGAACUGAGACACGGUCCAGACUCCUACGGGAGGCAGCAGUAGGGAAUCUUCCGCAAUGGGCGAAAGCCUGACGGAGCAACGCCGCGUGAGUGAUGAAGGUCUUCGGAUCGUAAAACUCUGUUAUUAGGGAAGAACAAAUGUGUAAGUAACUAUGCACGUCUUGACGGUACCUAAUCAGAAAGCCACGGCUAACUACGUG
rnacentral:rRNA from 1 species